CGACUAAUGUUGAAAAAUUAGCGGAUGACUUGUGGCUGGGGGUGAAAGGCCAAUCAAACCGGGAGAUAGCUGGUUCUCCCCGAAAGCUAUUUAGGUAGCUGCCUCGUGAAUUCAUCUUCGGGGUAGAGCACUGUUUCGGCUAGGGGGUCAUCCCGACUUACCAACCCGAUGCAAACUACGAAUACCGAAGAAUGUUAUCACGGGAGACACACGGCGGGUGCUAACGUCCGUCGUGAAGAGGGAAACAACCCAGACCGCCAGCUAAGGUCCCAAAGUCAUGGUUAAGUGGGAAACGAUGUGGGAAGGCACAGACAGCCAGGAUGUUGGCUUAGAAGCAGCCAUCAUUUAAAGAAAGCGUAAUAGCUCACUGGUCGAGUCGGCCUGCGCGGAAGAUGUAACGGGGCUAAACCAUGCACCGAAGCUGCGGCAGCGACACUAUGUGUUGUUGGGUAGGG
rnacentral:rRNA from 1 species